AUACCUGGAGCUCAAGUGGUGGCCGCUAUUAUUGGGCCUAAAACGUCCGUAGCCGGUUUAGUAAAUGCUUGGGUAAAUUGUGUAGCUUAACUAUACGAAUACCGGGUAGACUGCUAAGCUUGGGACCGGGAGAGGCUAGAGGUACUCCUAGGGUAGAGGUGAAAUUCUGUAAUCCUAGGGGGACCACCAGUGGCGAAGGCGUCUAGCUAGAACGGGUCUGACGGUGAGGGACGAAGCCCUGGGGCGCAAACCGGAUUAGAUACCCGAGUAGUCC
rnacentral:rRNA from 1 species